rnacentral:rRNA from 1 species
AGAGAGGUGCUUGCACCUUUGCUGACGAGCGGCGGACGGGUGAGUAAUGCUUGGGAACAUGCCUUGAGGUGGGGGACAACAGUUGGAAACGACUGCUAAUACCGCAUAAUGUCUACGGACCAAAGGGGGCUUCGGCUCUCGCCUUUAGAUUGGCCCAAGUGGGAUUAGCUAGUUGGUGAGGUAAUGGCUCACCAAGGCGACGAUCCCUAGCUGGUUUGAGAGGAUGAUCAGCCACACUGGGACUGAGACACGGCCCAGACUCCUACGGGAGGCAGCAGUGGGGAAUAUUGCACAAUGGGCGCAAGCCUGAUGCAGCCAUGCCGCGUGUGUGAAGAAGGCCUUCGGGUUGUAAAGCACUUUCAGUCAGGAGGAAAGGUUAGUCGUUAAUACCGGCUAGCUGUGACGUUACUGACAGAAGAAGCACCGGCUAACUCCGUGCCAGCAGCCGCGGUAAUACGGAGGGUGCGAGCGUUAAUCGGAAUUACUGGGCGUAAAGCGUACGCAGGCGGUUUGUUAAGCGAGAUGUGAAAGCCCCGGGCUCAACCUGGGAACUGCAUUUCGAACUGGCAAACUAGAGUGUGAUAGAGGGUGGUAGAAUUUCAGGUGUAGCGGUGAAAUGCGUAGAGAUCUGAAGGAAUACCGAUGGCGAAGGCAGCCACCUGGGUCAACACUGACGCUCAUGUACGAAAGCGU